AAUGGUAAAGACAUGAAAUAUAUUCCCUUGUUAUACAGGUAGGCGCCUAAUGGUGAAGACAUGAAAUGUAUUCCCUUGUUAUGCAGGUGGGCGCCUAAUGGUAAAGACAUGAAAUGUAUUCCCUUGUUAUGCAGGUGGGCGCCUAUUGGUAAAGACAUGAAAUGUAUUCCCUUGUUAUCCAGGUGGGCGCCUAAUGGUAAAGACAUGAAAUGUAUUCCCUUGUUAUACAGGUGGGCGCCUAAUGGUAAAGACAUGAAAUGUAUUCCCUUGUUAUACAGGUGGGCGCCUAAUGGUAAAGACAUGAAAUGUAUUCCCUUGUUUUACAGGUGGGCGCCUAAUGGUAAAGACAUGAAAUGUAUUCCCUUGUUAUACAGGUGGGUGCCUAAUGGUAAAGACAUGAAAUGUAUUCCCUUGUUAUACAGGUGGGCGCCUAAUGGUAAAGACAUGAAAUGUAUUCCCUUGUUAUACAGGUGGGCGCCUAAUUAGUAAAGACAUGAAACGUAUUCCCUUGUUAUACAGGUGGGCGCCUAAUGGUAAAGACAUGAAAUGCAUUCCCUUGUUAUACAGGUGGGCGCCUAAUUG
rnacentral:lncRNA from 1 species